UGCAAAGUUCUUAGCAUCUGGCACUGAACUGGCACUGAAUAAAUGAUCACUUUAAAAACUUCGCAUCAUUUGACAAAUUCUAAAGAAAUGGUACAGGACAGUGAAGCCUAAAAACACUGAGCAAAUGGCCAGAGUGAUUUUGGCUUAUAAGGAGUGUUCUAUAGAAAUGAGGCUUCUGCCUGUCCUGAAACACAGGCAGUUCUUGGCUGAAGACAGCAGUGCAGACUUGAGCUUGGAGUGGGUGGGAAGAAGUAAGGCUUCUAGAAAGUCAGUUCUCAAACACCAGUGAGCAAUACAAGUAGCCCUGGGGCCUCGUACACUUCCAGAUUUGGAUGAAAAUUGUUUAUAAAGCUUCACGAUACUCUUAUUCCAAUACAUUCUAAUAUUUUCUGUUGUAUUCUAUUUCAUUAGAAUAAGCAAAUAAGAGAUCAUUCCCCUCUAAACUGACUUAAUGAUGCAGUAGUGGUUAGUGGCCUGCACUUUGAAAAAUCCUGCUGUAAAACAAGGGUUCUUAACCUGGGUCCGUGGAUGGGCUUUGUGGGAGGGGAUGUGGGUGGCCCUAAAUCCCCUGAAUUUGGAUGCAUAGUUAUGUGUGCAUGUAUUUUUCUAGAGAGAGGGUCCCUAAAUUUCGUUUGGACCUCAAAGCACCCAUGACGUCCUCUGUGAGAGGGUAGUAAGAGAGCCAGAAAAGCAGCUUUGAGUGAUUGGGGAUUACUUUUAAUGCCACUUCAGAAAUGGAAAACUGCUGAAAAACCAGUCCCUGAAGAGGAGAAACCACAGGCAAAUGGAACAUUCCCCGCAAAAUGCCUCCUGCCCAGGGGACUCUUCUCCCGCUUGUGUGACAGCCAGCAGUUGGGACAGCCUACUUUUUCUUCUGCACCAAGUGGGGAUGGGUUCUCACCAGAAGAAGGCGCAUGUGUGAGGGAGUGGACUGUGUCCUGCCCAGAUGAAUGCGCUGGAACCAGAGCCCCAGCGCCUCAGGAUGGGACUGCAUUUAGAGACAGAGCCUUUAAGAGGGGAUUAAGGGAAAAUGAGUUCCUAUGGAUGGGUCCUGCUCCAACCUGACUGGUGUCUAUAAGAAGAGGAGAUUAGGACACAGGCAGAGACAGAGGGAACACCUCCUGAGAGCACGGGAAGAAGGCGGCCAUCCACAAGCCCAGGAGAGAGGCCCCCAAGAAGCCAAUCCUGCUGACCUCUUGAUCUUGGACUUCCAGCCUCCAGAACGGUGAGAAAAGAGAUGUGUGUUGUUUCAGCCACCCAGUCUGUGGUACCUGGUUAUGGCAGCCCCAGCAAACUAAUAAACUGUGUCUUUCAUGAACUCA
rnacentral:lncRNA from 1 species